GAUGAACGCUGGCGGCGUGCUUAACACAUGCAAGUCGAACGAAGCACUUUAUUACGAUUUCUUCGGAAUGACGAUUUGGUGACUGAGUGGCGGACGGGUGAGUAACGCGUGGGUAACCUGCCUGUUAGUGGGGAAUAACGUUUGGAAACGAACGCUAAUACCGCAUAAUAUAUACAUGGCGCAUGCCGAGUAUAUCAAAGAUAUAUUGCUGACAGAUGGGCUCGCGUCCGAUUAGGCAGUUGGUGAGGUAACGGCUCACCAAACCGACGAUCGGUAGCCGGACUGAGAGGUUGAACGGCCACAUUGGAACUGAGAAACGGUCCAGACUCCUACGGGAGGCAGCAGUGGGGAAUAUUGGGCAAUGGGCGAAAGCCUGACCCAGCGACGCCGCGUGAGGGAAGACGGUCUUCGGAUUGUAAACCUCUUUCAGCAGGGAAGACAAAAAGGACGGUAACCUGCAGAAGAAGCCAGGCUAACUACGUG
rnacentral:rRNA from 1 species